rnacentral:rRNA from 1 species
GAUAGUACCUUACUACUUGGAUAACCGUGGUAAUUCUAGAGCUAAUACAUGCUAAAAACCCCAACUUCGGAAGGGGUGUAUUUAUUAGAUAAAAAACCAACGCCCUUCGGGGCUUCUUGGUGAUUCAUGAUAACUUUACGGAUCGCAUGGCCUUGCGCCGGCGACGGUUCAUUCAAAUUUCUGCCCUAUCAACUUUCGAUGGUAAGGUAUUGGCUUACCAUGGUUUCAACGGGUAACGGGGAAUUAGGGUUCGAUUCCGGAGAGGGAGCCUGAGAAACGGCUACCACAUCCAAGGAAGGCAGCAGGCGCGCAAAUUACCCAAUCCCGACACGGGGAGGUAGUGACAAUAAAUACUGAUACAGGGCUCUUUUGGGUCUUGUAAUUGGAAUGAGUACAAUUUAAACCUCUUAACGAGGAACAAUUGGAGGGCAAGUCUGGUGCCAGCAGCCGCGGUAAUUCCAGCUCCAAUAGCGUAUAUUAAAGUUGUUGCAGUUAAAAAGCUCGUAGUUGAAACUUGGGUCUGGCUGGCAGGUCCGCCUCACCGCGUGUACUUGUCCGGCCGGGCCUUCCUUCUGGAGAACCUCAUGCCCUUCACUGGGCGUGUUGGGGACCAGGACUUUUACUUUGAAAAAAUUAGAGUGUUCAAAGCAGGCCUUUGCUCGAAUACGUUAGCAUGGAAUAAUAGAAUAGGACGUGCGGUCCUAUUUUGUUGGUUUCUAGGACCGCCGUAAUGAUUAAUAGGGACAGUCGGGGGCAUCAGUAUUCAAUUGUCAGAGGUGAAAUUCUUGGAUUUAUUGAAGACUAACUACUGCGAAAGCAUUUGCCAAGGAUGUUUUCAUUAAUCAGUGAACGAAAGUUAGGGGAUCGAAGACGAUCAGAUACCGUCGUAGUCUUAACCGUAAACUAUGCCGACUAGGGAUCGGGCGAUGUUCUUUUUCUGACUCGCUC